rnacentral:lncRNA from 1 species
AUUUUUUCAGUGAUCAGGGACAGGUGUUUGAUUUUCUAAGGCAGCUCGGUGAUCUCCCUCAUCGGCCUCUCAUCUGGCGCUGGCGGAUCGAAUUGGAUCGGCACCACUGGGAUGACCUGACUCGGGGCCUUCGAACUUGGGGAUAGGCACCGGAAGUAAUCCAUGUUGAAGAUGCUCUUCUGAUCAGGAUGGGGCUGUGCCUCCUCGAGAAGAUCUUGUCGCCCUCAUUGAAAUCAAGAUAGCCAUGGACAGGAAUCAACUCCCACUCAUAAAGAUCCAUUUCGGGGUAAGGGACGUGUUGUGGGAGAGAAGGUUAAAAUAAGAAGCGUCUGCUCCUUUUUGGGGGUUGAAAUUUCUCUUGGUGACCCUUUGAAUUGUUGAAUCAAAGGGAGGAGAAGGACGUGGGUUUGGGCUAUAUCAUGGAGUGUGAUGUGGAAUUUGAGUGAGAGGAAGCCUCCCCAAGAUGGCGGUGUACUCUUGCACCUGGGAGUGAAAGAUUGAAAACCAAUUGGCCGAAAGGGAGGGAGGCUGAUGACG